GUUGAGUACUGUACUAUGCCUUCAACCUGUAUCRUAAUGAUAUUACCAAUAGUCAUGGAAUAUCCCAAACUGAGAGCUGGAAUUUUUGUUGUCUCGUGAGCSAAGACUGCUCUCAUUGC
rnacentral:lncRNA from 1 species